CUUCCGGAUUCCGCCCGGGCCAGCCGCGUGGAGGCGAGAAGGCGGGCUGCUUUGCUUGUCCCCCAUUUACAUUCCGAAGGCGCCAGGACCGGAGCCCCCUCCUCGCCGCCGCCGCCGCCUCCCCCGACGUCUUCUGAGCGCGCGCCGCUGGUUGUUUUGAAUUUCAACCUGCGCUGGGCGGGGCCAGGGAACACGGCGCUCCUAUUGGCUGGAAAACGUGAGCCGACCUUUAUACGUCAGCGGACUUUCAAAACAAAAUUCGGGCGGGAAAAUAACAGAGGGGGCUUCAAAUUUGAAUUGGGGGCUGUCCUUCGGAUCGAAGGAGUUUUAUUGGGGAUGGGGACAUGGGCACUGCCUUUGACCCUCCUGAAUGCUUACGAACUAAUCACAGAAACUCGUGCUUAAAAUAUAGCAACGGUUCGUCGUGAAGGCAGUCCCUUCCAGAAGAAGGUGUAGCCUCCUUUUUUCCCCUUCAGCUGUCCCUCUCCUGCUCUCUGGAUCUCCUGAAGGGCUGCUAUGUCGAUGUUAAAGCGUCCCAGCUCCCUUGCAACAAUAGCGAUCCUGUGUUCGGGGCAUUCACUGAUGAUAACAUAGUCUGUGCAUGUUCAGAAGAAGACCUACAAACAACUAUAAACACCUUUGUAGAAGCACAGCUUCUCAUUGAACUUCAAGACAACCAAAGUGCUCUUCCAGCCAAUCCCUCUGCAAUGCCAGAAAUACAGCUUAAUAGUGAAACACUAGAAAAUGUUGAUCUUUUCUGCUACCUUGUCAAUCACUUCUCCACAAAAGUCAACAUUGACACUGAAAUACAACACCUUCCAAGCUCUGCGAGUUCAGCAUUCUUCCAAAUGAAGCAGAGAGUGUUUGAAGAUCGGGACAUCUGUAGGGAGACCAAGGUGCUUGUUUAUAAAGCUAUUGUCCCUGUUAUACAUUUGUGAAACAUGGACUGUCUAUAGACGUCACACUCAACUCCUGGAACGAUACCAUCAGCAUUGCCUCUGAAAAAUCCUAUAAAUCUCUUGGGAAGACAAGCAGGCAAAUGUCAGUGUGCUGGAAGAAGCAAAGACCACCAGCAUUGAAGCAAUGCUCCUACGCCAUCAACUCGGCUGGACUGUUGUCCGAAUGCCUGAUCACUCUCCCAAAGCAGUUACUGUACUCCCAACUCAAGAAUGGAAAACGGAAUGUUGGUGGACAAGAAAAGAGAUUUAACAAUGAGCUUAAAGCUAACCUUAAAAACUGUGGCAUAGACACCGUGAACUGGGAAGCCCUGGCCCUUGAGUACUCUAACUUGAGGCCAGCUGUGACCAGCAGUGCUGUGGAAUUCGAAGAGGCACGAAUGGAGGGUGAAAGGGAGAAAUGUGCUGAGGUGGUGUGUCAAGCCAACCCUGACUGGAACCACCUUCCACCUGGAAACCAAUGUCCUCACUGUGGAAGAACAUGCGGGUCAAGAAUAAGGCUCUACUGUCACCUGUGGACCUGCUGCCAAGGCACUACACUUGGAAGGCCACCUACUCGGACGAGAGAUCAUCUAAGACUAUUUUCUGUCAUAAGUGUCUUGCUUUCUGAAAAAGUGUUCAGGAUAUUUGCUGUCUCUGCCCAUAUUUUCUGGGACUCUGCCUAUACUAUGCAAAUUCAUACUUUCUUGUUGACUACCUGGAAAACAGAGGACACCCCUCCCUUGCUUGAUGUGUAACUGAUUGCACCUUGUAGAAAUCUGCUUAAUCAGACUAUUGGUCCAGCUAGUCUGGUGCUGGAAGCAAUAACCAAGAUUUUAGGCUGGAUUAUUUCCUAGCCCCCUACCUGGUAGUUUCCUGUCCAAGUACAUAGCAGAUCUGACCCUACUUAAAUCUUAUAUAAACUGGUGAGAUCAGGUGAGUAUCCAAAUAUAUAUUUUUUAUUUAUUUACAAUAUUUAUAUUCUGCCCUUCUCACCCCGAAGGGGACUGAGAGCAAAUCACAGAACACAUAAAAGGCAAACAUUUAUUGCAGAUUAUAACAAUAACAAGACAGACAAUAGGUAGAGGUAUAUAUAGGAUUUCCAAUCUUUCGGCAUCUUUUGUAGGCUGUGCUUGGUUCCGGCCAUUUGGGGGUGCUGUUGCUCCAUUGCCAAAUAGCAUUGUUGCUCCCUACCAAAUAGCUUUGUUCGUAAACUUCCUCCUUUUCCUGAUCAAAAUGCAAAGCCUAAAUACUUCCCCGCUUUAAUGUGGUUCCUAUUUAUCUACUCACAUUUGUUUUCGAAUUGCUAGGUAGGCAGAAGUUGGGCUAAAGGCCAGGAGCUCACUCUGGCCCAGGCUUCAAACUCUCAACUUUCCAACUGGCAAGAUUUAUUGCAGCUUGGUGAUUAACCUGCUGUGCUAAAGCCUGGCCCUGUCUUGUUGGAUGUGUCAAACAGCUGAACCCAACAGAAAAACUGUUUGUCUGAUGUUAACAUCAUGCCUGACAGAGUUAAUGAACAGUGAUAGAGUUAUCUCAUAAAUUGUGACUUUUAAACUGUGAUGGCCUUAGAAUAUUACGUCCAUGCUUAAUAUUUCUAUCACCGUGCUUAGUUUUAGGGGAAACUGCAAUGGUAAGUCUUGUCUGCAGUGGCCCUGGAUAUUGACAAGUUUGAGACAGACCCUCACUAUUACUGCUCCGUACAAUGUAGUCUCUUCACAAUGAAGUUGGAGGCACUACUAUCGGAUCUAAGGUCACACCAUUCCCUGAUACUACUCACUGGGUCUCCCUGUCCCUUCUGAGAGCCUUGCAGCCAUCGGUGCCUAGCCUAUUGCUUCAACUACUGUAUCUUUCAUAUUAGCUCAUUACUUGCUGUCCAAGAGACAUUAUUACUAUGGCUCCUGCUCUUUUCCUCCAAUCGCACACCCAAUCAAAACAUGUUUGUUCAUGUUUGGGGUCUUGAAUAGCCCUAGGUUGGUAUUCAACCUGCGUGUUCAGAAAAAAGCACUAAACAACCAGAGUACUUUUAUGGCUCCUAUUGUCAAGCCAAUUAAAAUGAAAACCUCUGUAGUAUCUCUAAUGCUAAGCCAGGAGUGAGAAUUAUGAAAGCCUCCAUAUGCUGAAUUGCAAUUCCUAUCAGUCCUAACCAGCAUGCUAAUGGUGAAGAAAGCUGUGUUGUGGUCUAUUAAGGUCUGGAAUGCUAUAAGUUUACUACUCUCCCCUAAGGCAUCACCAUGUCUCUAUGUGGAAAAUGCUUUUUAGGACUGAAAUAAUACAAGUGUCUCUGACUAGCUCACGGGCAUGCCUUUCUGAUUCAAACAUGUAAUGCCCAACUUCAUAGCCCUUUAUGUGGAAUGGCCAAAUCCCCAAAGUUUGUUGCUUCCUCAAUUCCUAUUCCACCUAAAAGAAAUCAUCCCCUGUCUUGUCACUGCAGCGUUUCAACAUAUAUGAAUGUAUGCUAUAUAGUAAGUAUAUAUACUUACUAUGUAGCAUAUAUUCAAACAGUCUGACCUUAAGCUAACGUAUAUUUCAUGUUCUUUGUCAGUCUGUUCAUUUCUGUAUCUUGUGGUGUGCUCAAUAGCUGCAAACACAGGCUGAAGUUUUUAGGCAAGAUAUUUGUGUACAGUACUGAAAAAUACGUAUUCCUGAGGAAUUAGAGCACUAAAUGAGGGGUGAGCCACGUGUAAUGUUUUAAAGAUUUGAUUAAAACAUUGGAGGCAAGGGUUUGAAUCCCUGCUUGGCCUUAAAAACCUACUAGGUACCCUAAUUUUUGGCAGGUGCCAUUCUCUCAGCUUUAGAGGGAGGUAAGAACAAAGAAAUCCUGCCUGUGAUGGGUUCACCUAAGAGUCACCAUAAAUUGGAAAUGACUUGAAGGUACACAAGAAACAACCACCAAGGGACAAAUUUGUUAAACUAGGCCUAAAUGACAUGAAUUCCACACAGCUCUUUCAUUCCUUUUUUGUGGUGGCUAAUGAAGUUGCAGAGCAUCUCCACAGCACAGUGGGCCCACCAUAUUUUAGAAUGCUCUAAAUGUUAUUCUUCAUCUAACAAAAGCAAUAUCAGCUUUGGAAUGAAAAACCUAGUACUUUCUUGAUGCUAAGAUAACACAGGUGUUAACAUCUUUGUGUUAAAAGUGUAUACCUCUGUGCUGCUUUAGAAGCAUUCACUAAAUGAAUACAUUACUGCAGGUUGAGUAUUCCUUAUCCAAAUUUCCAAAAUUCUAAAUAUUUUAAAAUUCUAAAUUGUCCUUUUGGAUGGCUGAGAUAGCGACACCCUUGCUUUCUGACAGUUCAAUGUACACAAACUUUACUUUAUACACAAAAUUAUUUAAAACAUUGUAUGAAGUCAUUUUCAGGCUAGAUAGACAGACAGAUAGAUAGAUAGGAAACAUAAAUAAAAUUUGUCUUUAGAGACCAUCUUUAUGCAAGUACUCCAAAAUAUAAAGAGAUCCCAAAUGCAAAACACUCCUGGCUCAGAGCAUUUUGAAUGAAGGAUAACCAACCUGUACUGGCUCACAUUUCCAGUGCGGCCUACUGUUUUAAGUUAGAUCAAAGGCAAAUGCUGCAGCCAAUUAAACCACACCCAGAGACACUUAGGCGAUAUGGCAGAAGAGGAAAAGCAACAAGUUUUAUAGUCUUCCUGGAGAAGAGUUCAGAGCAGGUUCCCUCUGUGAACUCCCAGUGUAACAAUGCAACAAGUGCAGGUAUUGUGAACCCAGAGAAGACAGGUCAGAUAUAAUAACAGCAUUUAUUCAAGUAUUUAGGAAAAUAACCAAUUUAAUUUGGUUACAAAAAUUAUGAGUCUCACAGAAGUUUCCAAAGUGUCUUCCACACAACCCUGUAGUAGGUGGGUUCUACAGAAAGCACACUGUGCAUGAAGACUUCUGCAUCUCUUAGCUGUAUCCUAAGCUGGUAGGCAAAUAGCUAUGGCUAUCAUUCCCAAGGCUCUAUUUCUGGGCAAUCUCUUCAGUUCUAGCCAAAGGCACCUUUAAAGCCCUUACUGCACAUAUACCAAGAUCUGGUAAUGCAACCCUCACAGGUUUCUCAAAAACAAACUGUAGGACAGGAGAUUAACAAUUCUCCACCAGAAGCCAAUACCUGGCAAUCUUUAUAAAGGUCAGAGUUCUUUCCAUCCUGAUGAAGAAUAAUGGAGACCGGGAGAAGCUUUCGUUGGGAUGUUGAAGAUUUUGCCCAGACAUCUGUAGUUCAUUUUAGCUCAAGCCAAAACAAGUCCCAGAGAGUCCUUUGCAUCAAACAGGAGAGAUUAAAUCUUGGAAUUCCCCUUCACCCCAAACCCUGUCCACCAAAUGGGUUCCGAAGUGCUCCCACGAGGAUCCUAGUAAAGUGUGGUUGCUCCUCUGUAGGUGAUACAGGCGGCUGCCACUUUCCAGUAUUAUCUGUUGUUUUCUCAGGCACAAGUGGUGUUUUGAUGAAGUCACAUUGUGCAAGCUACUGCUCAUGAACCAUUCAUAUUUUUGCUGCUAGAAGGCAAGUGGGUGGUGUAGCAGUGUGUACACACGCGGACUGGUUUCAGUUGCCUGAAGUGGGGCAGAGGUGCCAGGUGUGACGAGCAACGAGAGCAAAAAAUCUGGAGAAAAAUAAAAUUGUGCAUUAAUAAUGGAUCAGGGGGGUUACCUGAUAUUGCAAGCACUGCUUCAGACACAAAGAAAAACAUGGCCUCUCAAUCAAGAUUUGAUCCAAUGUAACCUAGUACAGAACCUGGCAUGAAUGUUACCAGAUUCAUUUUAGUCCUCUUACAAACAAUAUACAGUCUGCCCACCACACCUGUGGAUUUAAUUUUCACAGAUUUGGUUGUGUUUGAUUAAUCCAGUGACUGCCUCAAUAAUAACAUAUAUUUCACGGGAUAGAGGAAAUAUGGGCUUCGCACCUUUUUACUGAUCUCAAAAAUUGUUUUUUUUUUCCUUGGGAAAAAAAUCUGCUUAAAGGUGCCCCAAAUUCCACCUACAGCAGUAUUCUCAUGCUAAAUAGUAAAACUCCCCAGUCUUUGCUGGUUUUCAGCCAAAAUAAUCUGACAAAAUGUUAAGUACAUUUCCAGUUAUGGACAGGCCUCAUUUAUGGUUGAUAUCCUUUUGGAAAAUCAGACUGUAGAGCUUUCCACAGGAGCUAAAUUAGACUAAACAACAGUCCAUAGUUAAAACAGAGACCAGCAUUGUCCCUCCAACCAUUAUGUUGGUUUGACCUCUCCCAAUGAAAAGGACUUUACAGAUCCUACAUAACGUUUUGUACCUUUCCACAACUCCGGCAAUGAUGGCGUCGCCGAAGAAAUGUGAAAGGUUGACGGCAGGCCAUACAGUGGCUGCAAGUACUGUCUGGCACCCAUUCUGGUGGCCCCAAAGCACCUGGAAAGAAGCAGAAGGGCAGGUGUUGAGCUAGCUGUGCAUCUGAGGUCAAUCAGAGCCGCAACAUCUCAGCUGAAAGGUUUUAAGAAAACAUGUAAAUUCAUCGAGCCUCCUCUGACCACUAUAUUCAUAAAUAGCUGAGAACAGUAACAACAAAGGUGUGCUAAUCUAUUUCAACAUAAAAACAAGAUGGAUGGGGGGAAGAAAUAUAGUAGCACCUGUAAGGCUGAUUUAUUUAAACACGAACUUUUGUGGAUUUCAACUUCUUUUUUUCAUUACAUCUCAUCCUAUAACAACCAAAAUUUACUCUUAAAUGUGCUGCUAACUUUUAUCCCUCCGCCCCGCAAUUGCUUUCAGGUAAAGAGAUUCACUUAAUGGCAAAGAAGUAGGGCAGAGAGUUGGGGGAGGGAGGUUAUAGAGUUCCACAUUAAGAUUCAUCUGGCCAGGAACCAAGUUUCAGAAUAGGACAGACUCAAACCCAACAGGGUCUCAAGUGGGAAAUACCCGUAAUAAAGCAACAACUGGACUUUGAGCAGGAUCUCCAGUAUGAAAAACAAAACUCCACCUUGGCAAAAUCUGCUGUCCCAUCUUCUGCCUAAAAAAUAUUUGAACAUGCUGUGUACUUUUCUUGAAGGUCAGGCAGAGAGAAUGACUGACUGGAUCAAGCAAUUUUCCCUCAGACAGCGAUCAUGCCCAAACAGGCCUGUAAAUGACCCAUUCCACAUUCUGUGUUCUCACCUUCUCUGCCAUUGCCUUCUCUGCUAUUGGAACAGAGAGCACAGUUUUGUGUUUGAGAAUCUGUUGGCACCACGCAUCUCUCUGUCUCUGAAAAUGAAAAAAGGAGAGAAUUAUUAUGAAGCAGGUUGCUACCAUGCCACAAAAAAUGCCUGCACAAAUGCAAUUAUGCCAUAUCCAAGAUGCAGAUUGCAUAACUAGCACAGAAGUUUGUAGACUGCUUCCAUUAUUAUUAUUAUUAUUAUUAUUAUUAUUAUUAUUAUUAUUAUUAUUAUUAUUAUUAUUAUCACCCUUUAUGAAAAAUGGAAGAGAUCAAUCUAUGUGGUAUGUAGAAUCUGAACAAAUGUCCAAAUACUGUAUAUUUGCAGUGGGGAGUGUGAAUUUAGCAUUUGGUGCUGGUGGUGGGGGAAGUUAACUAUUUCUAUCACAAAGCUUUGCCAUUCUAAAUAUUCUUCUUCUAAACCUGAUUUUUCCCCCGUUGCAAAAAAAAAAAAAAGGAGGAUCAAGAAAAGUGAAGGAAACAUUCAGUUUCCCCUUAGUGCUGAUCUUUAUUAUAUCCAGAAGGUGACUGCAUUACAAAUUAAAAAAAAAUCAAAAUACUCUGAGAUUUCACAUUGCUCUAGUAUAGUGUAACUAUCUGCCCAUAGAAUUCUAUUUAUUUAUUAUUUAUUUACUUUAUUCUUAUUCCUCCUUUCUCCCAAUAUAGGGACUCAAGGCGGUUAACAGCAAAAAUGAUGCAAUAAUAUUACCCAACAUCUAUGAUGAAUAUCAAUGUCGUACAGCCUAUGGUUAAUAUGCAUGGCUACCAAUUCACGUGCAAUGUACAAUACGCAAAAGUAAUGCAUAGAGGCAAUGUGUUUUUAUAUGUUCCUUUAUGUAUUAAUGCAUGUGCAUGAUUCAGCUUAUGCCACCACUAGUUGGCUAUGACCGUUAUUGUCCAAAAAUAUUACUUAGCAAAUGUAACAUAAGUAACAAUUGUGUAUGUCACUAACAGGAUGAUGGUCAUUUUGUAUAAAAUGUACAUGUUAGUCAAAAAUGUGUUGGGGAACUUUUGUAGGUAUUGAGUGAAGGAAUUUUCUGCUUUUGGGAUGCUCUGAGGAGACCACCAGAAUUUUUUUUUAAAAAAAUUGCCGGUGAAGGAAAAAAAUCUAACAGUAGCCAGAGAUCCACUUCUUGUUUUGAAAUACAUUUUUAAAUAGUUCAAGAAUGCAGCAGAAGGGAGAAAUGUCCUGCCAUUUACUUAAAAAGUGAAUUGUGAUCCUGGAGGGUUCCAGGAAGGGCAAUUCAUUAUUGCAAUUAUUGUUGUUAGAAAAAAGGCAGUCCAGGAAACUCAUGAAGGCCACAAAAACAGUCCUGGGAGGUCAGAUUUUGUCUGCUCUGAAAGCAGGGGAUAGAAAGAAAUAAAAUCUCAUAGAACACAUCUCAUGAUUCAUGAAUCUCAUGAUUCAUGAAUCUCAUGAAUCACUUCAGGCAUGUGGUCCAUUGAGAAUUUUUUUUCCUAAGUUCAUUGUUGCUAGCAUGCCUGCUAUGACAAAUCCAAAAGACAAAGGGGAAGAAAACAGAAUUAAGCAAACCCAAUUACAACCACCAAAUAGGCUUUCAAUAGCAGCAAUGUUAAUGGCACUUUGGCUUAGACAUCAAGAAAACUAGCAGACUUCUAAAUAGACAGUUAUAAAGAUGAUCUGCAACUUUUCCAUCUUUUCUUCUUAACAGAUUUUUUUGGUUAACAAAAAUGGAAGAAGGAAGAGAAAACAGAAGAAGGUUAGUGAUAGAAGAUGCCAUUAUCUAGACCUCCAUAAAAUUCUGUAAACAAGACAGGGUAAUUGCACAAUAAAACUGUUGUCUGGAAUGAUCCUAUAAUUCUGAAACUCCCUUCUAGGGACUAUUGUGCUGUGUCAACAUGUAACCAAUGGAGAAGAACAAUAAGCUUUCUUGGGCCCCUUCAUACAUCUCAGUCUUACUGUACCUAGGUAAAUCCCCAUGAAGUAGCACGGGUGGCAGGAUAGGUCAUACCAAGCCGAGUCUACUCCUGUCACUUUGGGGCUCAAACUGAGGCAGCGGAUUUAUGCUUUAAAACCAGACAAGCCCCUACACUUAGACAAGCCCCUACACUUCAACACUUUAAGAGUUAAAAACUUGUUUUUUCCAACAGGCAUUUGAUAACGUUUAGACAGUAACCAGAACUGAUUGCUAAUCACUUAGCACUUUAUAUCUACACUAGCUGUGCCCGGCCACGCGUUGCUGUGCCGUUGUCUGGUGCUGUUGGUGAGAAAUUGUUGAGGUAGUGGUGGUAUUGAAUGUCUGUUGUAUGGUUGUCUUUAUGUUUAGUAUGCACACUGAAGUGGAUUAUAUGGCAGUGUGGAGUCAAGAUAAUCCAGUUCAAAGCAGAUAAUAUAAGAUAAUAUAAGAUUCUAAAUGGGUUAUUAUAGCUGUGUGGAAGGGCCUUGAGUCUACACUGCCAUAUAAUCCAGUUCAAAUCCUAAGUGAGGCCUAACUGUGCCUGUCCCCUGGGCUGAGUAGGUUGCUAGGAGACCAAGUGGGCGGAGCUUAGCCUUCAAACUGGCAGCAAUUGGAUAAAAAUUAUUAUUCCUCUCCCUGUAAUUAGGACUUUAUUUUUCUUUUCUUUUUGUUGUAUCAACCUAGAGGCAUGAAUGAUGGGUUGUGUUGUCAAAUUUCGAGGUUGGGGGGCCUGUAGUUUUGUUGUUUUGUCCGCUGCCCUGAUGCCAUCACUCUUUUAUAUAUAUAGAUUCUAUGCAUUCAGCUGAGCUGCAAUGCUUACAUGGAUCUUUUAACUGAUUCUAUUUUAAUAGAGGUUGUUUUAUCCAAUUUAUAUAUCUGGUUUAUGUAAUGUUAGUAUUGUUUUCAUGUUGAUAUAUUUUAUUUUAUGUAUUAUCUAUUUUAUGUAUGGCAUCUCUGUAUGCUAUUUUGUAAGCCGCCCCGAGUCCUUAUGUGAGAUGGUGAUGAGGUAUAAAGUUUUAUUAUUAUUUUAUUAUUAAAGGAACAGCAUCACUUAGAAAUAACUUGCUUAACUUAGAUUGUUUUAUUCAGACAGGCAUUUUAAAAUUAGAACCCCUGGCAAUAUGUUUAGUUUGCUGCUGUGGAUAUACUUUUAUAAAACAAUUUUAUUGCUGUUUAUUUAAUUGUGAUCAGACAGUUUUAAAACUGAUAUGUGUAUGCAUGUGUGCAUAUGCAUGGGCCUCCAUCAAACCGAUUUUCAUCAUAAAAGUACGUUAACAAAACGGAAAUAGGUAUUUUAAUGAGAAAUAUCUAGGCAUCCACUCAGAGAUUUAUAUCCCUCUCUUCAAAUUCAUUUUCAUUGUUCUGCCUGGCUCAGAACAACAAAAUCUGCACUUCAUAAUAAAAAAACUUGAACAACAAUAUAAAACCAGGCUCAGCAUAUAAAAAGCCACAGAGAGGAAUUGGGAUACAAAACCACAGUAUCCCAACCUUCAGUGCAAAACCUUGCCAGGACAAGAAUGUUUUUAACCAACAAAGAGAAAGCAGAAAGAGAAGGCAGCAACUGCAGAAGCAGACAACUUGUGGCCUGCCAGAUCUUGUUGGAUUGCCAUUCCUGUCAUUCCUUGCCAACAUAGCCAAUAGUAUAGGUGUUGGGAAUUUAUACUGGAAAACAUCUGGAGGUCAACAAACUGCCCACCCAUUAUAGGAGAAGUAUUCCAUAAUCUCUAAACAUUGCCAAGAGUUGGAAAAUACAUGUGGUUGCCAUAAUCAUUACAGCAUCAUGGCUUAAACUGUCUCAGUGAGAUAGCAGCAGUUUCAACCCAGGAGCACUUUGUGCUCUUACUUUCUUUAGUCCUUGGUUUUUCAUCCUGCUUUGCUUGCAAACACUAAAGAAAAGGACUAUGAAACCACACAUAACUUGAGGAGAUUUACUCACGGCCAGUGUCAGUCACCACCAGUUCCUCUGUUCGGGAUGUCACAAUUUUGAACACACUCUUCAGAAUGGCACGCAGGUCACUUGCAAAGUUCGUCUGGAGCUGGUCUGCCACUCCUGUCCAUAUACAAAACACCAGCUCAGCUCAGUUAUAUCAAUGACACAUUGAUUCAAGAGAUGAUAGCAGAUCUCAAUCAACAAACAUAACACUCCUCCUUCAAACAGAAGCCAGCCCAUUGUGAGUGCUGAACAAUGAAUUCUUUCCAUUUGCAUUCUCAACCAGAUAGCAAACUAUUUUCACCAAAUAUUUCCAACCAAUGCAAUCAAAUGGCUUAUUAGGCUCAACUGCUGGCAGUGUAGUGUAGCACAAAAAUGCUUUUGUUUUUAUUUGAAAGCUAAGUAAGUUACAGCCGCUUGCAAAUGUGUUCGCAUGAAUAUAAUAGUUAUAAUUGUUAUAAUCAUUAUAAUACAAUAUAUAAUAGUUACUACUCUCUCAUUAUUUACUUUGCCAAUAGUUGCCAUCUUCUGAGCCACAGAGGAUUUCAUCAGAGUGCAAAACAACAAACAACAAGUACCACAGACUGAUUCAGUUAGUUCUAUUUUAAAGUAAAGUUCUUCUUACUUUACUUUACUUUGGUAUAGGCCCUCUACCCUAUACAAGAUUAUUUCAUCCCGAGUGGCUUCCCAAAUCUCGUUAUUACUGUUUCUAAUCAGGAUCAACUUCUCAGUUUCCUUGGGAGAAAUAGUACAUGUGUCCCCUUCUUGCUAAUAUUAUCAGCUUGUUUCACAAAUUCGGAUGAAAAGAGGGCCAUCACGUCUCUUAUGUCCUGAACAUGUUUCUUUCAUAAGUAGCACUUGAUCCCUCAUCUGGUUAGUUCACAUUGGUGGAUUGCAAAGGAUGGUAUGCCUGUUUAAGUCUCCUUUGCAACCAAAAUAUCUAAGUGCAAUUCACUACCCCAAGAGUACCAUGAAAUAUAGAUAAUAUAAAACCCCGGAUUAUUUGCCUUUGGCAAAAAAAGUUGUUGGACUCACCAGAGAUGCAGACAAACAGCGUGUGAAUCAUGUCCUCUGUAUUGCUGUAGCGGGCUCGCAGCUCCAUCCUCCGGGUGCUCUGUGGAACUCCUGUGAUCACUCCUACUGGGAUGCUAGUAGCCUCUUGCCCAAGAUGCCUGUCAGGAGAACAAGCAGUUAGAACACACACUAAACUUACUCCUUUACCUUCUAUCCCUUUCACAGAACAAGAGUGGAGAAACUGCAAUCUCUCCUAGAUUUCUUAGUGCAAGUUAAUGAACUGCAAAAGCAAGGCCAUUCUUUGACACUGGCGAUGCAUGUGGCCCCCACAUCAGCUCAAGGCCAGACAGAAUUCCUCCAUUCUCCUUAUCGUGUUUCAGAGAGAGUGCCACAAAAUUCUAAAAUACUGAAGACAAGAUUCAAGGAAGCUUCAGCCAAUAAAGUCACUGCCCAGAAUUAGCAAGGCAUGUGCAGGGUUAUUUAUAACAGCCUGACCUGCAGGUCUCUCUUUCAUAGGAUCGCCAUAAAUCGGAAACAACUUGAAGGCAAUUGGCUUCCUCUUUUGUUCUCUUCUCUUUGUCUGUUUCUCUCUCACACACAAACACACAGAUCAUUCAGCCCCCAGAGAUGUUAGGCUAUUUUUAGUGUUGUUGUUGUGUGCUUUCAAUUAUUUCCAACCUAUGGCAACCCUAAGGUGAAUCUAUCACAGUGUUUUCUUGAGAAGGUUUGUUUGGAGAGGGGCCAGGGGGUUGCCUUGUUGCUUUUGCCUUCCUCUAAGGCUGAGAGAAUGUGACUUGCCCAAAGUCACCCACUGGGUUUCCAUGGCCAUGUGGAAAUCUGAACCCUAGCCUCCAGAACUAGAGUCCAAUGCUCACUGCACUAUACUCGCUCUCAUUGUUGAAGCAGAUUUCAUAUACCAUCUCAUUAUAUGCAGGUCUUUACUAUUUUGGCUUUAAAUAUUUUAGUGUCAAACAAGGACUCAAGCACAUUCUGAAACAUGGAAUUCCAUAUGUUACUUACCUGCUCAGUUAUCUGUACUCUGUGCCCAAGUUUUCUUUAAACUCCAGCCCAUUAAAAAAAAUCAAUAUUAUUGCUCCAUUCAUGAACAAAUUAUCUGGGAUAUGAAUGGCAUUUCAAAUCCACCUCUACUUUAUAAAUAUAGAAGGACUUCCUUUUUUUUACGUAAGACAAAAGACAUAUCAAAAAGCAAGGCUCCCCCAAAACAUGACAUCUGAUGUUCAGAUAAAUUUCUGUUCUGGCAUAUAACCCUGAUUUGCAAAUCCCCGACACCAGGAUAGGAAGAAGUACACUGAAAUCUAUGGCAGAAUGAGUAACAACUGAAUGGCAACAUUUGUGGGAAACGGGAGAGAUGGAUAUGUGAAAUGAUGUGUCAAUUUGAUUCUGACCAAUAAAACUUGUGUUGUGGAUGUG